rnacentral:rRNA from 1 species
GUUUGAUCCUGGCUCACCCCGAACGCUGGCGGCGUGCUUAACACAUGCAAGUCGAGCGCAAAGGCCCCUUCGGGGGUACUCGAGCGGCGAACGGGUGAGUAACACGUGGGUAACCUGCCCUUGGCUUUGGGAUAACCUCGGGAAAUCGGGGCUAAUACCGAAUAUGACACGCGACCGCAUGGUCUGUGUGUGGAAAGAUUUUUCGGCUGAGGAUGGACUCGCGGCCUAUCAGCUUGUUGGUGGGGUAAUGGCCUACCAAGGCAUCGAUGGGUAGCUGGUCUGAGAGGACGAUCAGCCACACUGGGACUGAGACACGGCCCAGACUCCUACGGGAGGCAGCAGUGGGGAAUCUUGCGCAAUGCGCGAAAGCGUGACGCAGCAACGCCGCGUGGGGGAAGACGGCCUUCGGGUUGUAAACCCCUUUCAGGAGGGACGAAGGUUCGCCGGUGAAUAGCCGUGUGGAUUGACGGUACCUCCAGAAGAAGCUCCGGCUAACUACGUGCCAGCAGCCGCGGUAAUACGUAGGGAGCAAGCGUUGUCCGGAAUCAUUGGGCGUAAAGCGCGCGUAGGCGGCCCUGUAAGUCCGUUGUGAAAGUCAAAGGCUCAACCUUUGAAAGCCGAUGGAUACUGCAGGGCUAGAGUCCGGAAGAGGCGAGUGGAAUUCCUGGUGUAGCGGUGGAAUGCGCAGAUAUCAGGAGGAACACCAAUAGCGAAGGCAGCUCGCUGGGACGGUACUGACGCUAAGGCGCGAAAGCGUGGGGGGCGAACAGGAUUAGAUACCCUGGUAGUCCACGCCGUAAACGAUGGGCACUAGGUGUGGGAGGUGUCGACUCCUCCCGUGCCGUCGCUAACGCACUAAGUGCCCCGCCUGGGGAGUACGGCCGCAAGGCUAAAACUCAAAGGAAUUGACGGA